rnacentral:rRNA from 1 species
UAGCAUAUCAAUAAGCGGAGGAAAAGAAACCAACAGGGAUUGCCCCAGUAACGGCGAGUGAAGCGGCAACAGCUCAAAUUUGAAAUCUGGCCUUCUGGUCCGAAUUGUAAUUUGUAGAGGAUGCUUUUGGUUAGGUACCUUCCGAGUUCCUUGGAACAGGACGCCUUAGAGGGUGAGAGCCCCGUACGGUUGGAUACCGAGCCUCUGUAAAGCUCCUUCGACGAGUCGAGUAGUUUGGGAAUGCUGCUCUAAAUGGGAGGUAAAUUUCUUCUAAAGCUAAAUACCGGCCAGAGACCGAUAGCGCACAAGUAGAGUGAUCGAAAGAUGAAAAGCACUUUGAAAAGAGGGUUAAAUAGUACGUGAAAUUGUUGAAAGGGAAGGGCUUAUGACCAGACCUUUGCCUUGCGGAUCAUCCGGUGUUCUCACCGGUGCACUUCGCUUGGUUUAGGCCAGCAUCGAUUUCGGUAGGGGGAUAAAGACUUUAGUAAUGUGGCUCCUCCGGGAGUGUUAUAGACUAUUGUGUAAUACCUUUACUGGGAUCGAGGACCGCGCUUCGGCUAGGAUGCUGGCAUAAUGGUCAUCAGCCACCCGUCUUGAAACACGGACCAAGGAGUCGAACAUUUAUGCGAGUGUUUGGGUGUUAAACCCUCACGCGUAAUGAAAGUGAACGGAGGUGAGAGCCCUUUUGGGUGCAUCAUCGACCGAUCCUGAUGUCUUCGGAUGGAUUUGAGUAAGAGCAUAACUGUUCGGACCCGAAAGAUGGUGAACUAUGCGUGGAUAGGGUGAAGCCAGAGGAAACUCUGGUGGAGGCUCGCAGCGGUUCUGACGUGCAAAUCGAUCGUCAAAUCUGCGCAUGGGGGCGAAAGACUAAUCGAACCAUCUAGUAGCUGGUUACCGCCGA